rnacentral:rRNA from 1 species
UACGUAGGUGGCAAGUGUUGUCCGGAAUUACUGGGCGUAAAGCGCGUGUAGGCUGCUUCGCAAGUCGGAUGUGAAAGCCCUGGGCUCAACCCAGGAAGUGCAUUCGAAACUGCAGAGCUGGAGUCCUGGAGAGGAAGGCGGAAUUCUCGGUGUAGAGGUGAAAUUCGUAGAUAUCGAGAGGAACACCGGUGGCGAAGGCGGCCUUCUGGACAGUGACUGACGCUGAGACGCGAAAGCGUGGGGAGCAAACAGG